rnacentral:rRNA from 1 species
UACGAAGGGGGCUAGCGUUGCUCGGAAUCACUGGGCGUAAAGCGCACGUAGGCGGCUUUCUAAGUCAGGGGGGAAAUCCUGGAGCUCAACUCCAGAACUGCCUUUGAUACUGGAGAGCUUGAGUCCGGAAGAGGUGAGUGGAACUCCGAGUGUAGAGGUGAAAUUCGUAGAUAUUCGGAAGAACACCAGUGGCGAAGGCGGCUCACUGGUCCGGUACUGACGCUGAGGUGCGAAAGCGUGGGGAGCAAACAGG